GUAAGUUCCAGACGUUCUUCACUCAACUGAGAAUUGAUUUCAUUUCUUCACUUAACUUUUAUUAUAUAAAUUUGAAUUUAGAUCUGUUUCUCAAGGUGCAGUGUGGGCUACUAAAGAAUGGGCUAUAAGUAACAAUUGAUUAAAACUUGCAAUAAAAUUUUAAUUAAAAUCUUCUUUUGAAAAUAUAAAUAAA